rnacentral:rRNA from 1 species
UACGGAGGGUGCGAGCGUUGUCCGGAAUCACUGGGCGUAAAGGGCGCGUAGGUGGUUCUGUAUGUCUAUCGUGAAAGCAUACAGCUCAACUGUAUUUUGUCGGUAGAAACUGCAGGACUUGAGGCUGGGAGGGGCUGGUGGAAUUCCCUGUGUAGCGGUGAAAUGCGUAGAGAUGGGGGAGAACACUCGUGGCGAAGGCGGCCAGCUAGACCAGUUCUGACACUGAGGCGCGACAGCGUGGGGAGCAAACAGG